GGGGGUAUAGCUCAGCUGGGAGAGCAGCAGACUGAAGUUAUGAUUAGCCGUUCUGAAGGUCCCGCGUUCGAUCCGCGGUACCCCCA
rnacentral:tRNA from 1 species